GCAUCAGGUUGGGCGUGGGGGGAAGGAGUAGUCAUGUGUAAAAUGUAUGAAUGGAAUGAGAGAGUUUUUAAAAACAGUUAACAAAAAGAAAUGAAAAAAAGAUUGGUUACAGGGAAGUGAGGCUGAUAAAUUCUUUGAGAGUGAAGCCAUAAACAAAGCCACCAAUUUGAAAUUUAAAGCAAAGAGGAAAGUAAUGACAACUCUCCUCCUAGCUUAACUGCAACUGAUUUGGUAAUAUGUCUCUAUAGAUGUGAUUAGGCACUUCAAGGGCAACACAAAUGGAUCAACGGAUUCAAACAAUUGCAGGUUCUCAGACUAGAGGGGGGCCAAAAAAAUGUAAACCUGAGAAUGCAACUGGAUGAAUACACAGCCCUGUCCACACGACUUGCUCCAGCAUCUACAUGUGCCCCCAUGAAGCUGUGAGCACCAAGAGAAGAGGGACAGUAUCUGGCCAGUUCCCUAUUACAACCUUAGUACCUGGCAUUAAUUAAAAUAAAAACACUUUUUACCUGGGCAAGUGGCUACUUGGAAUAAAGACAGCAUUUUUCAACAUUCCCUGAAGCUAGGUACAGCCAUGUGACUAAGUUCUGGCCACGCAAGAUAACCAGAGGUGGAGGAACAACUUCUAAAAUAUGUCUUUAAAGUGAAUGUGAGUAUUCUUUAACCAUUAUUUCUUCCUGUUGGGUGAAAAUCAGACUGGAUGGCAGGAGCUCAAGCAGUCAUCUUGAACUAUGAGGUAGAAGCCUUGUCCAUAAGGAUGACACAGCAAAAAGAUGAAGUGUGUGGGUCUCGCCUAUGAACAUCCCGCCUCUGCAUUGACUUACUGUGGACACCUAUUACCAGUGAGAGAAAAACUUCAUCGCUAUUAUUUUAGGUUCUCAGUAUCUCAAGUGAAAUAAUGAAUUAAAAAUGAUAAACCCAUCUCUGUUAGGUUUUCCCUAUAAAACUUUCAUUGUCUACAUAAUCUUAUACUUCAGAGAGAGUGCUUGGGCUAUAUUUUAGUGUUAUAAAAAUCAUGUUACAAUGAUAGGGCCUAGCACUAGCAUGGAACGUGGUAGAUCACUUUUUUAAAUAAAUGAAUAUUUUCUGUUCUUUAUAAUUAUC
rnacentral:lncRNA from 10 species